GCCCCGCUGGCUCAAUGGUAGAGCAUUAGACUUCUAUAGAUACUGUCGUCUUCCAAAGAUGAAGUAUAGGAAUCUAAAGGUUGCGGGUUCGACCCCCGCGUGGGGUU